GACGAACGCUGGCGGCGUGCCUAAUACAUGCAAGUCGAACGAACCGCGACUAGGUGCUUGCACUUGGUCAAGGUGAGUGGCGAACGGGUGAGUAACACGUGGGUAACCUACCUCAUAGUGGGGGAUAACAGUCGGAAACGACUGCUAAUACCGCAUAGGACAUAGGAUCACAUGAUCCAGUGAGGAAAGGUGGCGCAAGCUAUCGCUAAGAGAUGGACCCGCGGUGCAUUAGCUAGUUGGUAGGGUAAAGGCCUACCAAGGCGAUGAUGCAUAGCCGACCUGAGAGGGUGAUCGGCCACAUUGGGACUGAGACACGGCCCAAACUCCUACGGGAGGCAGCAGUAGGGAAUCUUCCGCAAAGGACGCAAGUCUGACGGAGCAACGCCGCGUGAGUGAAGAAGGUCUUCGGAUCGUAAAGCUCUGUUGUUAGAGAAGGACAGCGCAUAGAGUAACUGUUAUGCGUGUGACGGUAUCUAACCAGAAAGCCACGGCUAACUACGUG
rnacentral:rRNA from 1 species